UAAACUAGGAUUAGAUACCCUAUUAUUUUAAAUGUAAAAUUUUGCCUAGGUAAUAAUAGUUUUGUUCUUUAAACCUAAAGAAUUUGGCGGUGUUUUAGUCUUUUCAGAGGAAUUUGUCCCGUUAUCGAUAGUCCUCGUUAUAUCUUACUUGAAUUAUUAGUAUGUAUAUCGCCGUUAUAAGCUUAUUUUUUAAGAAUUGAUUUGCUUAAAAAUUUAAUUUUUAAUAUUUCAGGUCAAGGUGCAGUUUAUAUUUAAGUGGUGAUGAAUUACAAUAUUAUUUUAAUAUACGGGAAUGAUUUUUAUAAUGUUAUUUAAGGUGGAUUUGUUUGUAAUUUUUAUUAUAAUUUAAAUUUGAUUUUGGCUCUAAAAUGAGUACACAUCG
rnacentral:rRNA from 1 species